rnacentral:lncRNA from 1 species
CAGCAGGAGACUGAAGAAAGAAAGGAGUGAGGGCUGGCUUGCUAUUAACUAGUGCCGCAGGACUGCAUGGAGGUUGCCCUACGCUCAACCACACCAUGGUCUGGAGGCUAGAAGUAAGCAUGGUGCAGUUCUGGUAAAGACUUCCUUCUAGGCUGCAGAUUGCUGACCUCUUGUAUCCUUACAAGGCUCGAGUGCAGUGUCAUGAUCUCGGCUCAUUGCAACUUCCAACUCAUGGGUUCAAGUGAUCUUCCUGCCUCAGCCUCCCAAGUAGCUGGGAUUACAUGCACCUGCCACCACACCAG